UAACUCUUGAUUUAUUCUUGAUAUAUUUUUUGUAAACAGACUGUAAAAUAGUCUAAGAAAUUUCAUAUUAAAAAGAUAGUUAUUUUGGUGAUUUACUCCAACA